rnacentral:tRNA from 1 species
AGGCGCGUAGCUCAACUGGUAGAGCAGCGGUCUCCAAAACCGUGGCGGUAACGCCGAUGGGGGUUCGAAUCCCUCCGCGCCUG